GGCCAACGCCCCAAGGCAAGCCACCAACAUUUCGUAAUUGAAAGCUUCGCAGUUAGUUAUUAUUAGUUGUUAGUAAAGUAAGCUAUUCUAUCUGUUGACAAUGAAAGUGAAGCCAACACAUUUUUUCACCAAUACAAUUUCAUUCACCUCUCUCGACUGGGUACAAAGUAGCCCAAUAAUGUACGGUUAAGGAGCCGGAACUCUAACUCUAUAAAGGCUAUGUUAAGAAGUUGUGCAGUGCUGACAUGGAACAAUGUGGAACAACUGUGCCAAGCUCAGUGAACAGCGCCAGAGCGCACCACAACCACAUCCGGAGAGGGAGGGUGAAGUCUGGGUGAAGGAAAUGAAAUUAAAAGGAGAUAAAAAAAAAGGAAUGUGCUCCCACAUCUGCACAGCAUGAGCAUGGACACAUUAUAGACCUAUUACUUAACAUAUGAAAUGUGUUAUAGUCUAACAAUUAUCAGACUGUAUUAGCACGUCUACAUCACUGAUAGCCUAGCCUACUGAUCCUUUCCUCACCUGACUUGACACCUAUGGCCAGGUGUGGUCCACGCUUUGCCUAGUAGCCAAUUUAGAAACUUGGUUGUGCGUCAACAGUUUUCCUCUUGUUAUAUCUCCUUCACUGACAGUCACUCAGUUAGCCCAUGUCAGUAAUUUUUGGGGGAUAAAUUUGUCAAUUUAGUCUAACUAAACCCGCUAUCUAAACAUGAAGUACCGACUGGGCACACAGGGCACCUGCUCAGGGGACCCACACUUAACAUGUCAUUGCAAAUUGUGUAGAAUUUCAUAAAAUGUGCUUUACAACUGCAACAAUAAACAUGUCAAGCAAAUGUAUGUGUUUACCAUUUGUUAAUAAAAUACUUUCCCCUCUGUA